rnacentral:rRNA from 1 species
UACGGAGGGGGCUAGCGUUGUUCGGAAUUACUGGGCGUAAAGCGCGUUCAGGCGGUUUGGCAAGUCGGGCAUGAAAUCUCUCGGCUCAACCGGGAGAGGUUGUCCGAUACUGCUGGACUUGAGGGCAGUAGAGGGUGGUGGAAUUCCGGGUGUAGUGGUGAAAUGCGUAGAUAUCCGGAGGAACACCAGUGGCGAAAGCGGCCACCUGGACUGUACCUGACGCUAACACGCGAAAGCUAGGGGAGCGAACGGG